rnacentral:rRNA from 1 species
AGUGAACGCUGGCGGUAGGCCUAACACAUGCAAGUCGAACGGCAGCACAGUAAGAGCUUGCUCUUACGGGUGGCGAGUGGCGGACGGGUGAGGAAUACAUCGGAAUCUACUUUUUCGUGGGGGAUAACGUAGGGAAACUUACGCUAAUACCGCAUACGACCUACGGGUGAAAGCAGGGGAUCUUCGGACCUUGCGCGACUGAAUGAGCCGAUGUCGGAUUAGCUAGUUGGCGGGGUAAAGGCCCACCAAGGCGACGAUCCGUAGCUGGUCUGAGAGGAUGAUCAGCCACACUGGAACUGAGACACGGUCCAGACUCCUACGGGAGGCAGCAGUGGGGAAUAUUGGACAAUGGGCGCAAGCCUGAUCCAGCCAUACCGCGUGGGUGAAGAAGGCCUUCGGGUUGUAAAGCCCUGUUGUUGGGAAAGAAAAGCAGCAGGUUAAUACCCCGCUGUUCUGACGGUACCCAAAGAAUAAGCACCGGCUAACUUCGUG